GGAGACGUGGCAGAGCGGUCGAUUGCAGCGGGCUUGAACCCCGCAGCGCCUUCCCGGGCGCCGUGAGUUCGAAUCUCACCGUCUCCGCCA
rnacentral:tRNA from 1 species